rnacentral:rRNA from 1 species
GUUAUAUGGUCAAGUGAAGAAGCGCAUACGGUGGAUGCCUUGGCAGUCAGAGGCGAUGAAAGACGUGGUAGCCUGCGAAAAGCUUCGGGGAGUCGGCAAACAGACUGUGAUCCGGAGAUGUCUGAAUGGGGGAACCCAGCCAUCAUAAGAUGGUUAUCUUGUACUGAAUACAUAGGUGCAAGAGGCGAACCAGGGGAACUGAAACAUCUAAGUACCCUGAGGAAAAGAAAUCAACCGAGAUUCCCUUAGUAGUGGCGAGCGAACGGGGACCAGCCCUUAAGUUGUAUUGAGAUUAGCGGAACGUUCUGGAAAGGA